GUUGGUUUUUUGUGCAACAGUGUGGCGUGACCAAAAUCAAGCAAAGGUCACCCAGCAAGCUGGUUAAGAAGUGCUUUUGAUAGUACCACCUCUGGGUGGAUUCCAGCAAACAUGCAGCGCUUGGAGGUGCAAAGCAUUUUCUUCUUCUAUAUGCAACACAAAUUCCACCUAUUUGUUGCAUAAUUUCUUAUUAAAAUCCUUUAGCUCAUCCAGCUAAGGUUGAAACCUAUACUCAUUGCCAAGAUACGUGAUCGUUAUGCAACUUUCUAGGGUUAAAUUAUAUUACAGAGGAAAAUCUAAACGCUUCCUAUAUUAGAAAAAUUAGAUUUUAUACCAAUCUAAUUUUCAAUUUUUGCCAGCUUGACACCUUUCACUCCAGAACUAUUCUUUGUACUGUGCACCUUAGAAUUGAAAUUCAGCCAAUUCUGUGCAGCAAAUGUGAGGAGAAAAUAGUUUUGUUCAAGGAGACUGGAACAAACCCAUUCUGAGAUGAUGAAUGAUGCUGUAAACUCAGAUUUGAAUCAUGGAAGGGUCAGCUCAACCUUUCAUGUUUCCAAAAUAGUGUAAAUAAAUGGUAUUCCAUGCAUUUUCCUAUUUACAUCCUUCAGCUGGGACCUUCUGCGUUGAAGAGCUGUUUACUCUCUGUGAUUAUCCAGGUUUCAAAGAUGGUAGAUAUCCCUGACUGGGGACUAAUUUAUUCCUUCUGGCUAAAUUAGAAACUGAGGGAAAAUUAAAAUUCAAAGUAUGUCUGAGUCAUUUCCUGCAAUUUCUAAUUACAAAGCAAGCACUGGGGUCUUUUAAAAUCCCUCACACCUAUGGCUGACUCUGGAUUUGGGGUUUAUUUUCCAAAUACUGUUGGGAAGGUUGGGAGGCCGAGUUCCCACGGGAUCUGAGUGAUGAGCGGGUGUCUCCUUCUGCCCCGUGUGAAUGGGCAGGUUUUGGUCAGGCAGUAAACCAAGAACUCUGAGUGAAGUUAGAGAAUCUUUUCCCGGUGUAAAAAAGAAUUUGGGUGCACUUGGUUCAAAACUACAAAAAUGUGAGGGCUUCCUAUUACUAAUCCCAUUGCCACAGUUGUGUGAGAAGAAAGUCCAGUGAUUGUUUCUCUUGCUGCUUGUCUACUUUUGGUUCCUGGCUGUACUCAGAGCAUCAGAGGCAUCACUGUGAGCUGCCAGGCUUCGCUGCAGGAUGGGAAAAUAUCCAAAACCAGAAAUAGAGCAGGAAGAAACAGAAAUUAAGUAUGGAUGGAGAGAGGCAGUAAAAUGAGGGAAACUCUAAUAAUGAAAUACCAUAUUAAUGAGGUACCGUAUUUAUGUUGAAAUCCUUGCCAUAGGGUGUACAUUUCUCUGUACUUACCUGCAGCAUGGAUUUUGCAUUAGCUGAUGGGAAUAGCGUACUAGUUAAUUAUUAUGUGAUUUAUUUCCUCGACGUAUAUGUAGCUAACCAUCAUUGCCUAGCCAUUCUAUCUCAGUAAUUCAAAAGUUGUAGGUAAAACCUGUCUAUAUUUUGCCCCCAAACUGGUAUUACCUUUCAGAAGCAUGCCUUUUAGAUUUAUAACUCUGAUGUGGUGGUGCUGUUGCUGUUGUUUUUCUU
ensembl:lncRNA